GACGUAGGGCGCGAGCGUUGUCCGGACUUACUGGGCGUAAAGGGUGCGUAGGCGGCUUGGCAAGUCGGAUGUGAAAGCCCUCGGCUCAACCAAGGAAGUGCAUCCGAAACUGCUGAGCUUGAGUACUUAAGAGGAUCGCGGAAUUCCCGGUGUAGAGGUGAAAUUCGUAGAUAUCGGGAGGAACACCAGUGGCGAAGGCGGCGAUCUGGGAAGAUACUGACGCUGAGGUGCGAAAGCGUGGGGAGCAAACAGG
rnacentral:rRNA from 1 species